rnacentral:siRNA from 1 species
UAAUGACGAACAGAAAAGAUGGU